rnacentral:rRNA from 1 species
CAGUCGCCGCGGUAAUACAGAGGGUGCGAGCGUUAAUCGGAUUUACUGGGCGUAAAGCGUGCGCAGGCGGUUAUAUAAGACAGAUGUGAAAUCCCCGGGCUCAACCUGGGAACUGCAUUUGUGACUGUAUAGCUAGAGUACGGCAGAGGGGGAUGGAAUUCCGCGUGUAGCAGUGAAAUGCGUAGAUAUGCGGAGGAACACCGAUGGCGAAGGCAAUCCCCUGGGCCUGUACUGACGCUCAUGCACGAAAGCGUGGGGAGCAAACAGGAUUAGAGACCCCUGUAGUCCCUGUCUCUUAUAC